UACAUUGUUCAGAAUGUCAGAAGAGGUGACAAAAAAUGCACGUGUAAUCACUCACUAGUGUAAAAAGACAGCAUAAUUCAGUGUUUCAGUUUAAAAACAAAACAGGUCUAGAACUGUCUGCUCAAACAAUUCUUAGAAGAAAAAGUUGGUUUGCCCCAAAAUAAAAUUGUAUGUGGAACAACGUCUGAUUUUAUUAUCAAUAGAAUUCAAAACAAAGAACUGAACUUCAAAUUAUUGUAACUAAAUCAUUAUUGUUUUAAUUAUGCAGAUGCAUUCAUUUUGAUUGUAUUUAAUAAAGCAUUAAACUGGAUUUCCCUAUCUCUUUUUACAGGUGUUGCAGCUUUGCCCUUCACCUAUUCUUUCCACUACACAGGGCUACCUGGAAAACCACUUCAAACACAAACAUUUUGUCUUCCAUCUGGCUCAGCUGCACAGAGCCUCACAAGAGUAACAGGACUGUUGCUAUCACUACUUUUGCAUAAAAAAAGUAUCUUGAAAGUAUGUCACUGUGAGCCAUAUUCCAAAUGCUGGAAGAAUGGUAAUGGCACUAGUGAAAUCCAGAACUGA
rnacentral:lncRNA from 1 species